UGAAGCAUAACCGGGUUCAAGUAGUGAUUGACGCUUUUAAGGAGUUAUGCUUCGAGACGACGGUGGAUUUCAAAGGAGGAGAAUUUUAUGAGGAAGAGGAGGUGGCGGUGUCUCUGAGGUAUGAGAAAUUAUUUGGGUAUUGCAAGCUCUGUGCCAGUCUUUGCCACAAGGAUGAGCUAUGUCCGUUGAAUGAGAAGAAACCUAAGCCGAGUCCUGAACGAAGGAGGGAGAUCAGAGAAGGCAAUGGGCAUGGUCUGAUGGGGCUAAGCAUGAAGGAGGCGCUCGUAGCUAUAAAGGUGUUGUUAUCAAUGGUCAAACAACUCAACAGAAUAAAAAGCGAGAUGUUCGGGAGUAUUAUGGGAAGGGGAAGGGGAAGGCAUCUGAUGCAGGUGGAUCCAAGUGGGUUAAGGUUGAUGAGAGGGGGAUCUAGAGUGGCUCCUUCUCACCACGGUAAUUACAGAGGUGGUGGCGAGGGUUCACGGUUCAGAACCUCCAGAAGAGACGAGGGAAGCAGCGGAGCUAAGGGUGAGGGAGCUGGGGUUCACGAGGCACGUAGUAGGCCUUCUAUGGAACAGCUGAGAGAUGAACAAAGACAGCAGAACAUAGGUCAGGAGGUACGUGAAGAAGGAGAGAUUAAGGGCACUGAUGCGGUAGAUGCCACUACAGCUACUGAAGAGUUUCAACUCGAACUAGCUAAGACGCAGGCAGAGGGCUCAGAAGCGAUUAUGGAGGCUACAAAGGAGGAGAUGGGGUUACUCCAGUUACAGGGAAUGAAGGAGAACCAAGAUGAUAUGGAAUUAGAGGCUAUUGAUAUGGAACUAGAGGCUAUCAAUGCUUCUUUAUUGGAGAGAGGGGUGGAGUUGACAACAGAAGAGGAGUUCCAGACUCUCUCGGAGGAGGAAGCGGAGAAAGAUUCUGAGGUUAUUGGGGUUCACGUCGAUCUGGGCUAUAUCAGAUCGGUGUUUGUUUUGAAGAAAGGAAUGAAGGGAUUUAAGGGAAUUCUUAAUUUCUAAUAAAUCAGAAUUGUCUUUUGGAUUUGUAGUUUUUUCUAUUUCUUCAUCCAUUUUUUCAUAGGACCUUCCCGUUGUCAUAUUCUUGAUAAGGCGUCUAGCUUCUUCGGGAUUCCUAGUGAUGAAAUUUCCAUCACUCGCUGUAUCGAGUGUGGUUUUAUAGCUCAAAUUAACACCUCCAUAAAAGAUGUUAAGAAGUUGUGGUUCUGAAUAACCAUGAUGGGGACAUUCAAGUUCAUAGCCUCUGAAUCUUCCCCAGGCGUUUUUAAACGAUUCGCGUGGACCUUGGCGAAAUGUAAAAAUUUGCUUUCUUACUUUCCAGUAGCGUUCAUCAGUGAAAAAUUCUCUAAGGAAGGCACUUCUAAUCUCUUCCCAACAAGUGAGUAAUCCUGCUGCUAAACAGUUUAACCACCUGAGGGCUUCUCCUUCUAGGGAGAAUGAGAAUAAUUUGCAACGAUCAUAUUCAUCUGGUACUAAUUCUUCCAAAGUUUCAAUAUGAUCUUGUGGGUGCUCUGGGAGGGAUCCACGGAAUGGGUUUUGACGAAUCAUACAGUAGUAAUCUGCGUUAAAACUUAGAUUUCUUGGUAUCGUCUCCUGGUAUUUUGAUAGCGGACCUAUUGGAAUAGGUCUUACCAGGAUCAAGGUAGUCUUGUAUGGAAAAUUUUAUAUCUUCACCUUUAGUUAAGGUGGAAUUUUCCUUAACAGGGAUUUCAGUCCCUUGUUUAGUUUGGCUAGCUUCAUUGCUCGUUUGACCAUUUUUUUCAGUUUGAACUACUUUCUCAUUAGCGGGCUUGGUAAGAGAAAACUUACCUGCUUCCGGCUGGGCGGUAUCGAUCAAUGUCGGCAGCUCCGUAUCGUUCAUUUUUUCUGACUCAACGUCGCUUGAUGGAAACGUGUCUCCGUCGAUCGAUGGUUGGUCGCACUCUGUGUUCUCCAUUCUUUGUGUCUGCGUAACAGAUUAAGAAAGAAAACUUUAGCAAGUUUUUCGUAACAAGUCUAUACUAAAUUCUCAAUUAAAUCUAAUGGUAAUAAGAAAGAGUCCCCGGCAACGGCGCCAAAUUUGAUAUCACUCAAAUUACCCUAAAGAGUGUUACUCUCAUCAACAGAGGUUCAGAUGUAGUACUUAGGGAUCAAAUCAACAUAGACUCUAGGAUUACUCAACAGACUUAAAUAAUUAGAAAUGAAGAUAGCCUAAAAGGUUUUAAUAGUUUUAAAAGUAGUAAAUGAUAAAUCGAAAACAAAAGUGAAACGAUAGAUUGAAUUGAAGUGGUUUCAAGAAUGGGAAAGCAGCUAGAUUCAGGUAAAUCUCAGGUAUGAAAUACAUGCACUUAGUUUAGACUAAAGGGUUUGAUGGUUUUUGAACUAAACAAUGGUUUAACCGGAUAGGUUAUUUUCGUUAGAUCUCGGAUCUCAACUGUCGUAUUCUAGCGAGCUUUUGCGAACAGGUUUAACUUGUUCUCUAACCUUCUCAGACCAACUGUCGUUGCGCCUGAGUUAGUUAGAUCACGCAAGUGGGUUCAGGUAUUGAGGGGAAACAGUUAGUUGGACUCAAUUAAUCCUAAGAUCUAAAAUGAAGAUGAUCAAUCUCAAUUUUAGCAUUAAGUUCACAAGCAAAUGAAAGAACAAUCAAAACACCUUUUUAAUAGUCAUAUUAGCAGUAUAUAAUUUCAACCAUGGUGAGAAACCUAAAUCUAACAAUUGGUUUACUCAAACAUAUUCAUGAGAGAAAAAGUCAUGAUGGCAUGAAAUAAACUCAAAUGAAACAUAGAACACAAAUAGAUAGAGUAAUAGAAAUAUAGGAGUUCAAGAUUUUCUCUGUUUUUGCAGUCCCAGAUCUAUCUCUCAAAUCCUAAACUCUUCUAAUGGUAGCCAAAAUGCUACUUUUCCAAACUAGGUCUUUUGCAAGUGUCUCCCUAAAAUGAUACAAAACCCUAGUACAUAUAGCCUAACAGGCGGCUAGGGACUUAAGUUGCAAAUAAUAUAUCUUCUGGGAAAUGAAAUCUUCUAAUUUGCGAUCUCAUUCGUAUGACUGGGCAUCGAUCGAUGCACAUGUAUGUUUGUCGAUCGAUGGUAAGUGAUUAUGAUCGACCGAUGUUGCUCUUCAAGCGUCGAUCGAUUUUUCUUGCGUAAAAGCAUUCCAAAAUGUCCCAAAAGUAUCAUUUCCUUCCAUCAGGUGAAUAAACCUGUAAUUUCUUUGAAAAGACUCUAAAAUAUGAUUAAUACAUCUUAAAACUUUUAUAUACCAUGUAUAAAAACGGGUGAAAAUCAUAGUAUAUCAGAUAGACAGAUAGAAAGUAGAAACAAACCUGUUUGGAAACAGUAGUGAACUCGUAAGCAAAGCUUACUCGUAAUUAAUUCUUUGAGAAAGUAAGUUGAAUAUGAAGCACUGCCACUUUCAUUGAAGCCUUUAAAAAUGGUGAAAUCCUCCCACUGACAAACCAGUCACUGUGUUGUAAGAAAUAGAAGAAGAACUAUAAAGUACCAAGAACUAUGAAGAACUAUGAACUAUGAACACUCGUAGUGGUCUCACCCAGACGUUUCCAUUUUGCUGCUUCUCAUUAUUGAGAGGUAGGAAAAGUCAAUGUCCCGUAAGAGUGAGCGGCGGGGCAUAGAUAUCUAAAUUGUCGGUCUCUGCUUGAGAAGACGACGAAUCAGUGAAAUAUAGAAGCACCGCUGCUUGGGUAGGGCGAAGCUCAAUCAACGGCGCGAAACCACCGGGAUGAAUAGAAGAUUAAGCCGAAACUCUUCGCCACCAUCGAGAUGAAGUGAUUCAAGCCCUGUUAUUUCCUGGAAGGCCCAACGCAGCCGGAUCUAGAUCCAUCCAUCUACGGUAACCAUUCCAAGUUCCAUCCAACGCCGCAGGAUGACCCUAGAAAUGUCAACCCAAGGUAUUUGAUGGUUGAUCUUUACAGUUUAGGAAUUUUGUUAGUGGAGCUCAGCACUGGAGCAAAGUUCAAUCUGUUUUAACUUUUAGCGCUCUAAAGAAAGUAAGACAUUGGGGUGAUUGGUUGGGCUGUAGGAGGAAACUUUAGCUUUAAUUUUCAUCUACAACCUUAAAUAUUACCAAUCAUGCUUUAUAUUGAUUUUUAAAGCUACAGCCAAAAAAAUAAAGCUACAGCCAAAAAACACAAAAAAUAGUUGUAAAAUUUUUAUUUUCUAAAGCCCCAUCUUUUUAUCUAUAGAAAACUUUAAAGCUACAUUUCUUUAAAGCUAAAUAAAAAAAUCCUACAGACUAAAUUUUAAAGUAAAUUUUCUAAAGCUACAGCCCAAUCAAUCACCCCCAUUAACAACUUAUUUUAUGUAUUUUACCAAAAAAAAUUUACUUUCUGUUAAUGUUUUUAAAACCGGACCGGAUACCGGCUCGGUAAAGCUACUGGUUAUGUGGUCGGACCGGUUCAACCGGUCGAACCGGGUUUUCUAUUUAAAAAUAAAUAAAUGUAAAUAAUCAUAUAUUUACACUAUAUAGACCUAAAAUGUAGUUCUACAUAUAAUAUGUUCUAUGUUCUCUUUUAUUAAUUAGAUAAUAAACAAUAACCAUAAGUUUAGUUAUAUAUACAAGUGAAUACUAUAUCAACCAAAAUUGAUUAAAAAAAUGAAUAACCAUUUAAAUUACAUAUUUACUUAUUUUUACAACUAAAAGUCUUAAAUUUUAUGAAUAUAGAAAAAUGAGAAUAAAAUAUGAGAGUCAAAAAGAGAUUUUUUUAAAAAACAUCUUUAAAAAAAAAAUCAAUUAGAAAACUAAUUAAAUAGUAAAAGUUAAACAUUAAUUAUGAAAUAUUAUAUUUUAAUAAUAAUUAAAAAUACAUUAAUUAUAUGUUGAUUUCUAUUGAACCGGUUUCAAAGUUUAACCGGAUCACCGGUUUUACCGGUUUUUAGCCGGUUUCACCGGUUUUUCUCAAAUCCGAAUUUUACACCGAACCGGACUCGGCUUCUUUAACGAGUCACGGUCAGACCGGUUCGACCGGCCGGUCCCGUCCGAUUUUCAAAACCUUUUUCUGUCUCUGUAUUUUACUAUCGGUGCGGGAGGUAUAUAUUUUUUUUUCUUAGUUGUUUUUUUUAGUUUUAGUCGACUAAAUAGAUCUUUUUUGUAACUUAAAACUAAAUAGAACUUCUGUCACCAAUUCGAGAGUAUAUGUAUUUUACUUAGUUAUGUCAAUUUAUUAUUUUAUACAUGUUUUUAAAUAAGUUCAUAAGUUUAGUAAACAAAAUAAUUUUUUACAAUAACUGAAUAGACUUUUAUGGAGGCGAUGCUUUUGGCGAUUUAGGGUUUCAUGAUUUCAAGAAGAUGGGAUCCGGGAAUUAGAGAUGGGGAUUGGGUUUUUCCGAUCUUUCAUGAUCAAUUCACGGAUUGUGGUUUUCAAGGUCUGCGUUUGGAUAGUUUGGGGACCGUUAUGGGAAUAGCGAAGGAGUUCUGUGAGAUCUUAUGGAUACUGCAGAUUUGGGGACAAAGGCGAGGGAUUUCAGAGGCUAUCAAGGUGGAUUGCAAUAUCUCUACAGGUUGUAAUCUAGAUUAUGAUUAUUUAAUUUUCCACUUUCAUCUAGUAGCGAUUGAUUUGCUUUACCUUAUGGAGGAUUGGGGGUCGUCGUAUCUUUCGGGAUUGAGAUCAGAGACUAUCAAAUUAAGGAGAUACGGGUUAAUUGUGGGAUAUUUGGUAUGGGAAUUUUUGGAAAACUGGGGUCAAUAUAAGAAAAAGUUUAUUGAGUCUCUUUGGCACAUCAUUGCUUUUUCAUUUUGCCAUUAUAUGCUUCAAUCGUGCUUCUUCUUUGUGAUACUCAUGACGCAGAGUCAGAUGUUGAAUCACGGUGAGGAGCUGAGGAACGGUGCAGGCAUGCGUAAGAGAUUGAAGAUUUCAGUGGCGCACUUCGACAAUUCUGCGCUGAUCAAAACCUAUUCCAAGACAUUGAUCGGGAGAUGUAUGAAUCCAGUGGAGCAGGAGAUGAAUGCGCUUUUCACAAAUCUCCCAAAGAUUUGGAAACAGGAAGAGAGGGUAACGGGUACUGAUCUGGGCUUUGGUAAAUUUCAGUUCGACUUCACGACGAAGGAGGAACUUGAAGCGGUGUUGAAGCAACAGCCUUACCAUUUUGACUACUGGAUGCUGGCUUUGGCAAGGUGGCAACCAAAACAAUCCAAGCUUUUUCCCUCAGAGAUCAUGUUCUGGAUAAGAGUCUUGGGGGUUCCUCUGGAGUUCAGGACGGUCCCGACCUUCGAGAGUAUUGGUGGAGCCUUGGGGAGAGUUGUUGCGGUUGAUGUGAAGCAUAACCGGGUUCAAGUAGUGAUUGACGCUUUUAAGGAGUUAUGCUUCGAGACGACGGUGGAUUUCAAAGGAGGAGAAUUUUAUGAGGAAGAGGAGGUGGCGGUGUCUCUGAGGUAUGAGAAAUUAUUUGGGUAUUGCAAGCUCUGUGCCAGUCUUUGCCACAAGGAUGAGCUAUGUCCGUUGAAUGAGAAGAAACCUAAGCCGAGUCCUGAACGAAGGAGGGAGAUCAGAGAAGGCAAUGGGCAUGGUCUGAUGGGGCUAAGCAUGAAGGAGGCGCUCGUAGCUAUAAAGGUGUUGUUAUCAAUGGUCAAACAACUCAACAGAAUAAAAAGCGAGAUGUUCGGGAGUAUUAUGGGAAGGGGAAGGGGAAGGCAUCUGAUGCAGGUGGAUCCAAGUGGGUUAAGGUUGAUGAGAGGGGGAUCUAGAGUGGCUCCUUCUCACCACGGUAAUUACAGAGGUGGUGGCGAGGGUUCACGGUUCAGAACCUCCAGAAGAGACGAGGGAAGCAGCGGAGCUAAGGGUGAGGGAGCUGGGGUUCACGAGGCACGUAGUAGGCCUUCUAUGGAACAGCUGAGAGAUGAACAAAGACAGCAGAACAUAGGUCAGGAGGUACGUGAAGAAGGAGAGAUUAAGGGCACUGAUGCGGUAGAUGCCACUACAGCUACUGAAGAGUUUCAACUCGAACUAGCUAAGACGCAGGCAGAGGGCUCAGAAGCGAUUAUGGAGGCUACAAAGGAGGAGAUGGGGUUACUCCAGUUACAGGGAAUGAAGGAGAACCAAGAUGAUAUGGAAUUAGAGGCUAUUGAUAUGGAACUAGAGGCUAUCAAUGCUUCUUUAUUGGAGAGAGGGGUGGAGUUGACAACAGAAGAGGAGUUCCAGACUCUCUCGGAGGAGGAAGCGGAGAAAGAUUCUGAGGUUAUUGGGGUUCAAGAAUACUCGGAGGAGAAGGAAGGGAUGGAGAGUGGUGAGUUUGACAGCAGCAAAGACACGGCGACAGAAGAGAUGGCGAAGAGACAGGGUAAUCGCAAGAGGCUGUUCAAGCCUACUAGUAGCAUUGUGGGAAGUAACAAGAUGAGGACGGCAAGUGCGCUUCUCUCUCCACGCAAAAGAGCUGCUGCAAAGGUGGGAACUCGUCCCGGAGAUAACGGUAAACCGGUGGAGAGUAAGGGGCCUUCAUACCCGAAGCAGUCGAAUCUCAAGUUCUAAAUUUAUGUAUCACGGCUUAAUAAUAAUAAAAUUAAGUAAAAGGGAAUUAGGUGAUGAGGAUGGGUUCUUAAUUAUUAAAAUAAGAUGUCUUAUUAAGAUCUGGAAUAAAAUUGGAUGUUUGGUUUUGUGGUGCUCUUGUGGUGUACUUGGAACUGUUUUACUUUGGGGAAAAUAUUUGGUCUUUUUGGUUUGGAUUUACGGGUGUGGAGGGUGGAUCAUUACUAGCUUCUCAAGUAACGUAUUGGUACUAUCUUGGUUUGGUAUCCUGCUUGCCCCUGGAUCAUUGGUUGGAAAGGAUUAUGUGAGCUGGUGUCUGAGGAGAUGGGAUAUGAAAGGUAUAUUUUGGAAUAGCUAUUGUGGCUUUGGCUUUGGAUAUAAAGG
rnacentral:lncRNA from 1 species